rnacentral:SRP_RNA from 1 species
GCUGGGCGUGGUGGUGCAUGCCUGUAAUCCCAGCUACUCAGGAGGCUGAGGCAGGAGAAUCGCUUGAACCUGGGAGGCGGAGGUUGCAGUGAGCCAAGAUUGCACCACUGCACUCCAGCCUGGGCAACAGAGUGAGACUCUGUCUCAA